AAUGGUCCCUGCUACACCCCUUUCCUCCGCUCCUGAUGUUGGGCUCAGAGCCCCCUUCCCGCAGGCAGCGCCUUACUAUGGAGUUGACUCCUGGGGUUGGGGAUGAGCCCAAGCUGAGUGGGUGCUCAGCGUUGGGGGGCGAUCCUCAGCCAUUGUCUGACCCUGUCUUAGGGACCAUCCCCCCAUUAUGUUUGUUACCAUGACUGCCAGCCUGUGGGAGAGGCGGGCGGGGAUGGCCCAGCUGAGUCUCUGUCGUCAGUGGUGCCCGAAUAAGAAGUGAGAGGAGGAAGUGGAAGGCAGCGUCUGGUGUCUAAAGAGCAGCUAGCCACCACAGGACAUCAGCACCACAAGCUGGGGACUCCGUGUCCUGACAGAGGCCAGGGCUGCACUGUCUCUUUCUGUCCCCUCCUCCAGUCUUCCCAAAUCUGUGUUACACCUUUAUAGUUAGCAUUUAUUGAGCAUUUACCGUGUGCUGUGCACACUGUUUGCUCUUGGUGUGCUUUUACAUACGUAUAUUAACUCACUUGGUCUUCCUAACAACCCUGUGAGCGCUUAUCCCAGAAAGGACCCAUCAAAAGGGUGUUUUGCGCAGCCUCCUGUGUGACAACGUAACCACCUUGCCUGUCCCAGAGGGUUACCUAAUGGACACCUCCUUGCCUGAAGCCUGGAUACGUGGACUCCACAGGGAGAUAGCUGCAACAGCCACAAUGGCAAGUCAUCUAGGGACUUGGGCUUCUGUUACCUUUGUCGAUAGAAUAAUUAUGGCCAGAACACAAGGACAACUGGGAUAGAUGCAAAACUUCAAGCAAACUUCUAGAGGAGGGAAGCAAAACUGAGGCGGCUCAUGCCGCAGAGACAUGAGAGUGUGUGAUGAAGCAGGAGCAAGACCCUCUUCUGUAAAUAGAGAAAAACGCUGAAGACAGAUUCAGACAGAGCCCAAGGGUGCUUGGGUGUCUCCUGCUCCCCCCCACACCAGGCCCUCGCUCUGUGAAACACACAGCAAGUCUCAAGAAGACCCAGGAUGUUCACACCAGUACCUGUGCUGAACGUGACCUGCCACAGCCGUGACAUCUGCCCCUGGCCAGCAGAAGCGUGGAAACACCACCUUAGAACCACGUACCCAGCCCCAACUGCCCAUCCUCCGAUAAAAGCUGGGUGGUCCUUUUACAUACACAAGACAGAUCGCACCAGGAAAGCUCUGUGAAUAAAACUUUUAAUAAUGUA